UACGUAGGGUGCGAGCGUUAAUCGGAAUUACUGGGCGUAAAGCGUGCGCAGGCGGUUUUGUAAGCCAGAUGUGAAAUCCCCGGGCUUAACCUGGGAAUGGCAUUUGGGACUGCAAGGCUCGAGUGCGGCAGAGGAGACUGGAAUUCCUGGUGUAGCAGUGAAAUGCGUAGAUAUCAGGAGGAACACCGAUGGCGAAGGCAGGCCUCUGGGCUGACACUGACGCUCAUGCACGAAAGCGUGGGGAGCAAACAGG
rnacentral:rRNA from 1 species